ACUGAUAAAGGUCCAAUUUUGAGAGAGAAAACACAGUAAUUUGAAUAGGAGAAAUUUAAUAUAAAGGUUUGCCAGCUGUAACAGGUAGCUGGCAUUAUAAGGGAGUGGCUAAUAAAAGUUAAGAAAACUCAGAAGAACAUAGGAAUAGAAGACAGAAGGGGCAGCCACUACUCCCAGGGCUGGACUGGGGAACUUGCUUUAAAUCAGCCCUUUAGGAUGAAAAAGGACAGAAGACGCUGCUCACCAGGAAUUUCUCACUAGAGGCACUUUCCUACAAAACCACUUGAAGAGGUGCCAGAUUGCUUUUUACUGAAAGAAUGCAACAAAGAGAGCUGCCAAGAAAAUACAGUUAUUCCCCCAAAUAGUUCAAAGAACUAUGCCAGUUACCAUGGACACCACAUGUUGAGAUGCUAAAGAGUCAGAAUGGGUCUGUGAGUGAUUAUCUGGAAUGCUGGACAUGUAGAGUUUGUAUGGAGAGUACUGCGCUAGACAUGGAACAAAUAGAGACCAAAGACAGCAAGACUGACGGCAGCUCAACGGGGGGAGAUAUAAUUCUUAUUUUUUUCAUCUUCCUUCAGUUUCCAAACCCUAUCACUUGCUGACCCUAAGGCCUCUACUGCCAUUACCCAGCUAGACUUUCUUUGGUAGAAAAUGGAUGGAAGAUUUGCACCAUGCAUUUGACAAUUUUUGCAUCAGUUUCCAUCUGUUUCCCAGCUGUUCUAAGUGAGGCAAAAGUCCCUCCCUUUUCUUCAACCUCCCAUAUCCUAUGCCAAAUGGCACUGUAGAAGUCUCGCAUAUAUGAUCAUUUAAAAUUUCGCUGAAGUCAUGUCUGAAUUCUGCACACUGCCUUAUGGAUGUGGGAGAGGUGACUAAACUGAGUCAACGCAGUCAACCACCCAGGACUUGCAAUUCCAGGGGGUUGCAUCCACCUAACCCUCCGGGGUUCUGGCUUCGGAUAGUGUUUGAUCAAUGGAAGCAACAAAAGAAGAUUGGAGGACAUGAAGACAGGUUACUGGAUGAUAUUCGACAUGAGCUGCAAUCCUCCAUCUGAGGUCCCAACUUUUCCAGAAGGCUUCUGUCCUGUUGCGCUCAUUGGAUUCUGCAUUAUGGGAUUCUCUUGAAGUGUGUGAAGAAUAAUGAGCUAAAUAAAGAGGAAAAACAAAAGAAAACAAAAACUGCAGGGACUUUUAUAACUAUCAUUGAUUGCCAGCUUAAGCCUGCUGGACUCUUCACAAAACUAUAUAUGCUUCAAGCUUAAUAUUUAAUUUUGUAAUUGGAACAUUUAUAAUCAUAUUAUGCAUUUAAUAAGGAUGCUCUAAUUCAGAUUUACUAUUAUCAGGAAAUUAAAUUUGGAGUUACAGUAAUGCAUGCAUAUAUAUGUGUGGGUGUGAGUGUGCAUAUACCUAUAUAUGUAUAUACAUAUAUAAAGUAAACGCCUUCUUUUAACGUGUGUUUUAAGUAUAGCUUCCAUGUCCUAGUUAAUUCAGCACCCUCCCUUUUAUCCUUUCCUUGCCAUUGUCCUCUCUACUAGACUACAAUAAAAACAAAAAACUAUGAAAGUAAGCAGCUUAUAAUCAUAAUUUUAAUCAAUGUAGCCUAUGCAAGCUUUAAGAAACAUACGUCUAACAUCUUAGAAAGAAAGCUUAUGAACACAAACAGCAGAAUACUUAAAUACAUUUGAAACAUUCACAUUGAAUUGAUUCUACAAAAUUUUGAAGAGCAACAGCUUUUGAAUUUAGAGCUAUAAUCAGUACCCUAAAGUUUUUACCACUGAGUUACUACCUAGUAAAAAUAUGUUAUAUUUGCAAUAAAAGUACACAUUGUAAGGACAUAAGAAUUGUCAUCAAGGUACACAAACAUUUUAGAAUUAUUAAACAUUUAAAUAAAUGGAAAUUUUAAAAAUAAAAUAACAAUAUUAUCAUACAAGUUAAUGAUCCAGUUUAUUAAUUUCUAAUUCUAUUGAUAAAACAAGGGAUUAUUUUUGAAAGGGUUUUUCUAUCUUUCAUACAAACCCUUUCCAAAAAUGUAUAGAUACAGUACGGAUUCUACCUGAUCAUUCUUGUGCAUAUGGUGAUGUAAGAAACCAAAAAAAUGUAAAUUAUUUUCAUAACACUGUGAAAACCAAUAUUUAAAAAUACAGUGCACAAUUAGUAGUGAGUAACAUAUAUAAAUUUAGAAAUAUUAUAUUUCUGUACACAAAGUAACAUUAUAAAUGAAAGCUUCAGGAAUAAUGAGCUACUUAUUAUUCCGGAAAUUAUAUAUCAAAAAUUUCAAAUAUAGAGGAAAAUUAAAAACCCACUCAUGACCCAUGAAAAUUAAUAACCCAUUCGAUCAUACACUUACCAUGUAACUUUCUGUUAAUUUGGUAAUAAAUAAUGUCAAGAGAUUUUAAAUGAAAAUACUUAUUCUGAAACAUAAAAACAACAUCUGAGAUGAGCACAAAUGGAUCAAUAGAUACAUUAUUGAUUAUUUUGUAUCAUAAAAUACUAUCUAGUACAACAUUCUUUAAAAAAUUCAAUAUUUUUAUAAUGUAAGUAAAACGGGAAGAACUGUUAGAGAAAUGGGCAUCAGAUUUAGAUUAAUUCUGCCUCUAACGCAAAUUGUAGGCUGAGCCCUAUAUGUUCUUGACCAUUCUAAGUUUUACUACAUUAAAACACAUAAAAUAUUCUGCGAGGUUUUCUCCAAUGGGAUUUUGAAUCUCACUGAUGACUGUGAUUUAGGAGUAAUGUAGAGAGUUUUGCAACUAACUUUACUUUACACCGUUACUCCUUUUCUACUUGGGGGUUCAGUUCAACACGCUAGUAAAAGAAAUAGUCAUGAGAGCAUCCUAAGGAAAGUAGGCAAAAUGUUAGUGCCUCAUUAUAUUUACAAUCUUUACAAAACAUGUAUGUCAGUAAACCAUAUUAACAUCUAAAGCACAUGAUAUGUAGAAACAAAUUGUGACUACAAAAUGUGUCUUGUUUCUUAAAUAUGCUAAAUAGGAAAUAAAUCACAUCUACUUCAAUUUUUAAUCUGUGGACUUUGGCCUUAGUUUGUGUUUUAUUUUAUUUUUUUGCUUUUGAUUUUAACCACUGAAAUCAUUUACCAAUACUAUAAGCCAGGAAAUACAAUGUAACUGGCCAGUUGAGAAUUAAGCCUUCUCUUUUUAUUAUUACAAUCAAGGGGGGAAAUGCUUAUAUAUCUUCCUGCACAAAAUGUUUCAUUUAUCAAAAAAAAAAGUGAGAAAAAUAAAGAAAAUUUGGGUGAGAUAAAUAAUCCACAACUAUUAAUUCAACAGAUAUUAUUUAAGAAAUUCCUACCUGUAAUUUAUUUUCUAAUAUUUCUGCAUCCUUAGUAUUUAUCGCUCAAAGAUAUUUGCAGCCCUCAUAGCAGUGCUUGGAAAAGAGAUUUGCUCUGAAAAUUUAGAAAUAAAUUCCUGAGGUGAAUACAGUUCAAAACUAAAAUAUAUUGCUGUAUUAUAUUGGUUUUUCUCAUUUGAAAUUAAAAUCUAAAAAACCUUCAUAUUAGGUUGUGUGUGUCAAGCUGCCAUUAUAAAAACACUAAAUGAAUAAAAUUUCGCAAGCAAGGCAGCAUUAUCAGGCUAAGUACAUGUAGUGGGCUUAUAUAUGGUGAUGUUUUACAUAAUUCAGCUAUUAAUUCAUCUAUAGAUUUACAUUUCUUAAGUGCAAAAAAAAAUGUAAUUAUUUCAUUACAUAUGGAAUUCACCUCCCAAAUUUCUCAGAAUCUAAGAGAAAGGAUUGACAUUUUCUGAUAUUUCAUUUUUGCUUAAAAUUAAGUUCUUAGGAUGUUUAGAUUUUAUUAUAAAUAUUACAACUUAAAUUCCAGAGUUAUAAUGAACGGUCUAUGUUUUGAAACACAGAGGGAGAAUGGGGUAAUGACUGAAGUACUGUUUUUUCAGUUUAUUAGUAAAGAUCAGCUUAUAAGAUGUCAUUGUAAAGGUUUCUAUUGAUAAUUACCAUAAACAAAGAUUAAAACUUUAAAUACUAAGUUCUGGAUUUCUAAGCCCGGUGAAAGUUUGUGCAAUACCAUGCCUUGCAUUUAUGAUUUUUCUUUUAAAAUGAACUAUAAAUGAAGAAAUUUACACAGAAUUGGAAACUAUUCCUACUUUUAUUUGCAUUCUUCCUUCCAUUCAUUGCUAAUGUUCAACAAUAAAGCAUUUUAAUUCUAAAGGAAUUGUUGCUUUUAACUUGAGUGUGAUUAUUUUAGAUCACAUUUUAGAGCCCUCAUGUAGGUCAAUGAUACUUAGAAUUUUUUAUGUCAGAUUACCAUUUUUAAAUGUUCACACCUAAAAUUAGUCUACCAGUCCAAGAUAAAGAAUGGAAGUUUUUUUUUGUACUCCAUUUGAUUUGUUCAAUACUUCACUUUAAUCUUCAAGAUCCAGUAUAUUAUUUUUUAAAUUCUAAAGCAAAUGCUGAAAAGCCACAAUCCAGUAACACAGAAAUGAAUAAUAACACUAAUUUAUUCCUUUCAGAAAACACAAUGAUUGAAAUAUCUUGGAAAUAUUACAAUAUCAUACUGAAUGAGGUUGAUAAGGUAUUACUCUGAGUUUAAGUUCCAACUUAUUAAAUGUAAUAUUUGCUAGUCAUUCUGCAUAGUCAAGCAUAUAGACAGACAUAAUUUGACAGCAAAGGUUUUAUGACAUAGUAGCUAUAAAUAAAAUAUUUGUAAUUUUACAAGAAUCUAAUAUGAUUCAAAACCUAGUAAAGUCUACCUCCCCAAAUCGCUCUUUUCUUUUUUGAUGUAAUUUCUAUUUUUUAUAAAAUAUGUAUCAUAAAUUUGAAUAGAAAAUAUCUAGAUAUGUACACUGUAUAACCAUGCACAAAAGCUAAAGUUCGAUCAAUGAAUUAAUUUUAGUUAUUUUAACUAAAACUGGGCAGUUUAUUCCUACUACUAGAUUGCUCAAAGAGCAACCAAAUGUAAUUGAAGCCAAGCAAUUCACACUAUUUAUAGACAUUUUUCAGAAUCACCUGCUUUGUAGUGAUUUUUUUCAGCAGUUGUAAAGUUUUGAUUUUUAAGAGUCCCUUUGAAGACGUGGCAGAUGUUGGCUUUGCUAAUAAUGCUGGAAAGCGUAGCAGGUUCAAAGUUACAAAAAUGUUUAACACAUAUAAAAUAUAAUGGUGUGUUUUUCUAUUAAAUUUGGUUAUUUUCAAUUGUCAAUAAACUUACAUAAAGGAAGCCUAAAGUCCAUAAAUAUUUGCUUCCAAAACAUGAAGCUGCUAGAGUUUGCAUAUGUGUGUGUCCAUGUGCAUUUGUGGAGGGAAAGUGCAUAAAAUAUAUGCUAGAGAAGCUUACGUAUUAUAGUUUUAAAUCGUUACUAUGAAUAAAAUUGUAAGGUUUAUAAAUAUUUAAGCUGUUUUUCAAUACUUUCUGGUGCUUAAAAUUCUAUUAGAAUUUAACACGGUAAUUAGAAUUAGCACAUACACAUACAGUCUAAGUAUUAGAUGCAGGGAUACAGAAUUUUGGUCCUGACUUUACCCUGGAUUUAUGUACUGAAUUUUCUCUCAACCAUAAAUGCAAAGUAAUUAUAAACUACCUAACAAAAUACAAAUGAUCUCACUAUAUAGGAUGACAUUUUUAUCUAAUACAAUUUUAAAUUUCAGGAGUUCCGAAAUCACUUCAAUUUUAUAUUUUAGAAAUAUUGAAAUACUAAAAUGUGCUAUAAGCAAUGAGAGAUAUACGUAUUAAUAGCAUACCAGGAUCAUAAUCAUUUUCAAUAUUGUUUUAGUUUGUGCUAGAUCAAGAUGUCUAUGAAAUAAAAUAUCUUUGAAGAUAAUUUAUGGAACACCUAAUGCAAUUGUUACACGAGAAAGAUAUCUUUAAUUUAAAUCUAUCUCAAUAUCUGACAAAUAUACCUUCAGCUGAAAUUGGCAAAUAAAAUUUUAUUUUCAAUAAGUGUACAUAGAUUUAAACAGAAACUAUUGUGAUUUUCCUUUUAGUCAAUAUUUCUUCAACAUAUCAAAGGAAAGAAAAGCUCAUUCUAAAUCCCCAGUAUUUUUAUCCUUGGUGAUGACUAAUUGUACUUUCCACUGAAGUUUUAAUCUGUUAAUAAUUUAUGUAGCUGACACAAACACUUAUAUUUGCUUGUUUUUCCAGUACCCUCAUUAUCAGCUUCAAAAUGUAGAAAUGAAUUUAAUUUUGUUAAAUGGUUAUUUCCCACUAAGUUGGGGGGGAGAGAUAAAUUAGUUUUGUUAAAUUAUUCCAUUUUUUAAAAAAAUUAUUAAAAUAAAUUAAGGGAAUCAGUUAUUGAAUUCCGUUUUCUCAGUUUUCCCCAAACAAAAUAACAUGUGCUUGUAUGAAAAUUGUUUGCCCUGAGAAACUUAAGGGCAAUGGCUCAGUUCAGGAAGCAUGAAGAACAAUCUAUCAUGUAGGUUUCUCAUUGCAAGAAAUAAAAUGAACCGUAAGAGCUUAUGGGAAUUGCAAGAGUACGCUCAUCAACCCGAACUGGGAUCUGCUUCCAAAGUUACACUGAUAUCAAAUGUUCAGUUUAUGAAAUUGUCACUGCAUUCUAAAAUCGACUGUUUUUCUAAUAAAAAUUGAAACCUUUUUGCUAUGAUUAACCUUUCAACUCACUAUCUAAAGAGAGUUUCACUUAUAGUUAGGAAAAUACAUUAAAUAUCAGUGACACUACUGGUAAUUUUCUUAUAAAAACUAAUUUGUGAUGGAACAUUAAAAGUUCACCCCCUGACCUUGGAAAAUAAAAGUUAGCUUUUGAGACCGUGAGAGAAGAAUCCAUCCUAUAGUAACGCUGAAGAACAAUUGAUAUUGCUGUGAAUGGUGAAGGAAUAUUAAAUAUGCGGCCAAUCAUUUUCAUUUAUGUGGCAUCUUACCUAAAGCUUUACACACGAUCAACAUUUUUCCAAUCCUUCAAACCAACAUAUGGGAUUACCUUCUAGGACUAUUAUUAACCCAAUUCCACAGAGGAAGAAAAAUAUGCAAAUAUUAUAUUAAACAAAUGACACCUUCCAAAAGUAUUUAAUCCAGGUUGCACUAUACCCACGAAAGAAAACUCACAAGUCUCUUAAUUUUAAAGUAUCUUUUAACAAUUUUAUAAAAAUACAGGUAGGUAAGAGCUUUGAAAACUUGUCUGGAAACUUUGAGUUUCUCUGGAUUGCUACAAUUUAUUCGGCACGUUGUGCCUUCAAGCACCAGAGGUCAGGAAGGUUCCCCUUUUGCAUGGCUGCUCAAAUUAUCCCCACUGAAAUCAGCGCCUCCUGCGCGCACCCUUGCAUACCCCUUUAGACACGUAUCUAACUAACAGUACCCGAGUUGCUGUUGCUUCGCAGUAUUUGUCUCUACUAAUACCCACUUGGUAGAGGGAUUUAUUUUCCACUUUUGAAACUUAGGUUCUGUAAUUAGCUUACACCACAUGGACAUGUACUAUUAAGGUUCGUCUUUCUUCCAGUGUGAGCAUCUAUUUAUUUACAAUUCUCUGACACAUUCCUUAAAAUCUGAAUUCCUAGAUAAUGUCUUCUUCCCCAAUAAAGGGAAAAUUUUACCAUUUGAAAUAGGGUGCUAUUUAAAGAACGCUGAAAUAAGAAUGUUAAAAAAAAAAAACUGAAACUUUUUUUUCUCAUGCGCUCUGCCAAGUUCCAUUGCAAGUUCCAAACAUUGUGCAAUAAUUUGGAAAUCCAGUUAACGAUGGGAAAAAUCGAGCCACUCAGAGUCGGCAACUUGCAAGAGAAAAGUCAAGAAGCGGCACCCGCACGCACGCCUGCCCAACGGACGCUGCAUCCCUGGGCGCACGCCCCUCCCUCCCCAGCGCUGGGAUGGAAGGUCACGCUUCACAAUCGAUUUCACAGCCACUUGUCCUUUUUUAUCAACCUUCUGGUAAACUAGUUUAGGACUUUGGAGGGCUUAGAGCUGCUGGCUGUAUACGCAUUGCUCUCGAAUAAACACGUGUCCCCAAAUAUCAGGACCAAAGCUUCACCGCCGAAUUUGGCCGCAGGAAGCCACAGAGGGCAACACAUUCCCAUCUUCCCUGCUGCCACCCUCCAGUGCGAGAAUCUCCCCUAGUAUCUCUCCGCCCCUUUUCCAGCCCGGCGCGCACUCUCGAGGGUGCCUGGCGCGCCCUUACCUGAGCUGUCGCUUUUCCUCUUGCCGCCGCUUCGCUUCUC
rnacentral:lncRNA from 10 species